CGGGAUAUAGCGUAGUCUGGUUAUCGCGCCUGCUUUGGGAGCAGGAGGUCGCAAGUUCGAAUCUUGCUAUCCCGACCA
rnacentral:tRNA from 1 species